AAUUAAAUGUCUGAAAAAGAAUUAUCUCGAUAAGAUAAAGCAUGUAUAAUAUACUUUAAUUA
rnacentral:tRNA from 1 species